rnacentral:rRNA from 1 species
CAGCAGUCGCCGCGGGAAUACGUAGGUGGCAAGCGUUGUCCGGAAUUAUUGGGCGUAAAGGGCUCGCAGGCGGUUUCUUAAGUCUGAUGUGAAAGCCCCCGGCUCAACCGGGGAGGGUCAUUGGAAACUGGGAAACUUGAGUGCAGAAGAGGAGAGUGGAAUUCCACGUGUAGCGGUGAAAUGCGUAGAGAUGUGGAGGAACACCAGUGGCGAAGGCGACUCUCUGGUCUGUAACUGACGCUGAGGAGCGAAAGCGUGGGGAGCGAACAGGAUUAGAUACCCCAGUAGUCCCUGUCUCUUAUAC